rnacentral:rRNA from 1 species
CUUGACUCUUAUAAGAGGUCCAGCCUGCCCAGUGACCAUGUUCAACGGCCGCGGUAUCCUAACCGUGCGAAGGUAGCGUAAUCACUUGUUCUUUAAAUGUGGACUAGUAUGAAUGGCACCACGAAGGUUAUACUGUCUCCUUUUUCUAAUCAGUGAAACUAAUCUCCCCGUGAAGAAGCGAGAAUAUACCUAUAAGACGAGAAGACCCUAUGGAGCUUUAAACAACACAGCAAUUACCUGCUAAACUAAGAAGUUUCUGAACAUUUUCAAUCUUUUAAGUAAUCUGACUGCAAGUUUUUGGUUGGGGUGACCACGGAGCAUAACACAACCUCCAUGUUGAAAGAAUUCUUUCUAAGCCAAGAACAACCUUUCUAAGCAUCAAUAUAUUGACAUCCAUUGACCCAAUACAUUUGACCAACGAAC